GGGAAGCUCCAGGGUGCGGAGCAUAGUACAGGUAGAACUGCGCCGCUUGGUUUAUAGCGGCAGGCCAAGAACUCCAAGAAGCGCAGGUGGGGAAGGAGAAGCAGCGGCGGAAGCGGGACAGUUUCGAGAGAGAAAGAGAGGGGGCGGUGGGUGGGAGCGAGAGGUUGGGAAGUGGGGGAGGUCCAGUUCCUCUUUUUCGGCGGGGGAGGUUUGUCUGCCGCCGGGAUGGGCGACUCUGGCGGCUCCGUCGUGUCUAUUGACGUCGAGCGCAUCUCCUUCGGCGGGAAGGAACAUCAUAUAGAAACAAAACAUGGACCUGUAUCUGUUGCUGUGUAUGGUGACCAUGAUAAGCAUGCCCUUAUUACUUAUCCAGAUGUUGCUUUGAACCAUAUGUCUUGCUUCCAAGGACUACUAUUCUGCCCAGAGGCUGCCUCACUGCUGCUCCAUAAUUUUUGCAUUUACCAUAUAAGCCCCCCUGGACAUGAGUUAGGAGCCACUCCGAUUUUACCAAACAGUCCUGUGGCAUCAGUUGAUGAGUUAGCGGAUCAGGUUGCAGAAGUACUUGAUUUCUUUGGAUUGGGUUCUGUUAUGUGCUUAGGUGUCAGUGCUGGUGCAUACAUUCUUACUCUCUUCGCAACAAAGUAUAGGGAGCGUGUGCUCGGUCUUAUCCUCGUUUCACCUCUAUGUAGAACUCCCUCAUGGACUGAGUGGUUUUAUAAUAAGGUGAUGUCGAAUUUGUUGUAUUAUUACGGGAUGUGUGACAUGGUGAAGGACUGUUUGUUGCAGCGUUACUUUGGCAAGAGAGUGCGAGGAGGCUCUGCUGUACCAGAAUCUGAUAUUAUGCAGGCGUGUAGAAGUUUCCUAGAUCAACGGCAAAGCAUGAAUAUAUGGCGGUUUAUCCAAACAAUCAAUCAGAGACAUGACUUGACAGAAAGCCUGAAGCAGCUGCAGUGCAGAACUCUGAUAUUUGUCGGUGAGAACUCGCAGUUCCACACUGAAGCUGUUCACAUGACUGCAAAGCUUGAUAAGAGAUACAGUGCCCUCGUUGAGGUGCAAGCAUGUGGGUCCGUCGUGACGGAGGAGCAGCCGCACGCGAUGCUGAUACCAAUGGAGUACUUCCUCAUGGGAUACGGCCUGUUCAGGCCGAGCCAUGUAAGCUCCAGCCCUCGCAGCCCUUUGAACCCGUUCUGCAUAUCGCCGGAGCUCCUCUCGCCCGAGAGCAUGGGUGUGAAGCUGAAGCCGAUCAAGACGCGGGCCAAUCUCAGAGUGUAGGUACAUAUAUGGAAGAAGAAAAGGUUGGAGGUGUGAGGGGCUUUAGGCUAACCCGGCGAUCGGCGAUACUGAUGGUAUGUCUGCCUUGAUUUUGGCGUUGAAAUGGGGAGAGAUGUUGUAACUGUGAUGUAGAUAUAGAGAAGAGUUUUAGGGUGGUGAGGUUGGUUGGUUGGUUGGUUGGUGGUGGGUUCUAUUCCAUUGAUUCGUGGUAGUAUUAAACAGUUGUAAAUGGUCACAGAUUGUUUGUCAAAGCAAAAGGAAUAAUGAUAAUAAUAAAGGGAGGCUGGUGAGAUGCUGUCCGAUUAGGUGCGCACACUGGUACCCUUGGUUUCCUUUUAUGAGCUAGACUGGUGAACCAUUGUUGUCUCCUGAAGCAAAGUGUUAUAUAUUCG
rnacentral:rRNA from 1 species